UUGCUGCGGCACGUGUUUACCGGCUUCCCUCUUCCAUGGGGGGCUUUCCCGCCAGGUGCCUAACUCAUACACGCAGAGAGAGAGAGAGAGGGGAUAGUUGCAGAAAUGGAGUUCAGCUUGAGCGGGAACGCUCUGAAAACCUUUGCUCGCUCUAUCACGUGCCUUGCACGCGUCGGAAACGAGCUUGUCAUCCAAGCUUCUCCUUCUCAGCUUGCUUUUCACACUCUCAAUUCAUCAAGGUCUGCUUAUAAAUCUAUUACAUUUAAGCCUAAUUUCUUUGAUCUGUGCACAAUUUCUGGCACUCAAGUGCAAUUUAGCGUUCUUUUGAAGGCCAUUUGUUCUGUUCUUAGGACACCCAUUUCAAGUAUUGAUCAUUUGAGCGUGCAAUUACCCAAUCCCGAUGCAUCGAAAGUGCAAUGGACUUUGGAAUGCUACAGUGGAAUGAGAAAAAUCUAUUGGAUUACUUGCAAUGUUGAGCCCGACAUACAACAUCUUUCUCUUGACAGGACAAGAUUCCCAAGCAGUUUGGUAGUGAGGCCCCGUGAUCUCAACAGAUUGCUAGCUAAUUUUCAGUCAUCCCUUCAAGAAAUCACAAUCAUUGCAACAGAACCCACAUCUUUACCUUCUGAUGCUGCAAGUGAAAUUGGUGGGAAAGCUGUUGAACUUAGAAGUUAUAUAGAUCCCACCAAAGAGAAUGACUCCUCACUACACACUCAGCUGUGGAUAGAUCCUACAGAAGAGUUUGUGCAGUAUACCCACACAGGAGAUCCUGUAGAUGUAACAUUUGGUGUGAAGGAAUUGAAGGCAUUUCUUUCUUUCUGUGAAGGAUGUGAAGUUGACAUUCACUUAUUUUUUGAGAAAGCUGGCGAACCUAUUCUAAUGGCACCAAAAUUUGGUCUCGACGAUGGAUCUAGUUCAAACUUUGAUGCUGCACUUGUUCUUGCAACCAUGCUUGUGUCUCAGCUGCAUGAAGGAAAUCCCUUGGAACAUCCACCAGUGGCUGGCAUAGUGCAUGAUCAGGCUAAUCAUGGGAGAGGGUCCCAAGCACAAGAAGAGAGGCCAGGGGUGAAUGUUUCUGAGCAUCCUUCUGAUCACACCAGAAUUUGGUCUGAACUUUCAGGGAGUGCAGCCAAAAGCAAUAGCGGUGCUGAAGGGAGGCAGGUUCGAGGUGAAAGAAAUCCAACAGCUGUUGCACAAGGGGAAAUCGAGAGGAUUAGCACAAUGCAAAUUUCAAAGGCUGGAUCUGCUAGAGGAAAUGUGCCUGGUGGCGCUGAUUUCUGCUCUCCUGCACAAGCACCCCAAGUUACAACAGAAGUUAAUGAUCAUGGUCUCACACAGCGUCAUCCCAGUAAUUGGGUGGAUUUAGAUGAGGGUGGUGAUGAUGACAAUGAUGAUGAUGAAGGGGUUGAGAAUGAGCUGUGUGUUCAGGCAACACCUCCAUAUUACGAGGAACAAUAACCCUGAUGAAUUGCUUUGUCUUGAUUCCUUUAGGGGAGUGGAUAGACUGCUGGUUCUCUUUCCUUUCUUCAUGAAAGAUGAUUCUGUACUCUCCACAACUCACAACACGUUGCUUCACCUGUACGUCUAUGGUUUUUGUAUAAAGACAAUUGACAGUGUUGGUGAGCUUCGACUACAGCCAUCAGCUUGCCUUUUUGAAAAAGCAGAUACUCUGAAUAAAGCUGGUGAUACCUGCCUCAUUGAAGUAGUAUGGAUGAAUUUUUACCGAAUCAUAUUUCAGCAUUCUGGAUUUAAACAUGUAAGUUGUGUUUGGUAGCACAGUUUCGGACUUUUGUCUUGUAUUCGGACAAAAAAAUAAAAAUAAAAAUAAUUUUGUGCUGUAUUUUGUAAAAUUUAUAAAAAUUUAAAUCGGAGUUUCGAAA